UGUUCUGGUGUGUGUGUGGGGGGGUGGGCAGGUGUGGCCCAGAGCACUGAGCUUUGCGGUAUGUGUGGGGAAGGUGGUGGAUGGCAAGGUUCCUGACAGCUGGGGGGCCUCAUGAGCACAUUGCUGUAGGAAGCCGGGGCUGAGGAUUCCCAGCUGUGGGGGCUCCAUCUGGCUCUCCUGUCUCUGACUCUCCAAGGACAAGAACCAUCUGGAGGGAAGGGCCUGGGUGGCCUAAAGACAAGGUGCCUUCGCCCCCUUGCCUGAUAACAUUCUGCUGUUUUUCGACCCUUUCUCCGCCCUGUGCUCUUCUCUCCUGCCCCAACCCGGAUAGAGGAAUUUCCAUAUCCACUGUGAACCCUUCAUUUUGCAAAUGGAGGCAUUCAGAGAAAAGAAAGUGACAUGCUCCACUCAGUGCUGGGAGGGCCCUGCCGUGGCCUGUGCUGGGGACCUCGAUGUUCCUGGGGGAAGAUACUGGGAUGUUUGCUGUGGAACUCUGACCCUGGCCAAGGCUGUCUGACUAAGUGAGGAGGAAGAAGAUUUAGAGAACUGGCGAACGAGUGCUGCUGUCUUCCCAUCUCUCAGGCCGCAGCUUGGAGUGACAGAUUCUUGAGCCUCGUGUGGUCUGUCUCCCAGAGAGCUUUGCCACCAGCCUGCAGCACCGGGGAACUCCUGCUACCUUUGAUCCCUGAGCGGUGCAGACCAGACUGGGAGAAAGCUGGCUUGUGGUGAGGCCUCCACCUGCGAUCCUUGCACUCAGCCCUGCCUCUUGUUUGCUCAGUCCGUUCAGCCUCCUGCAAUACCCGUGGACGUGGGGCUGGGAGGUCAGCGCUCCAGGGAUGAGCGAGCCCCCUGAGCAGCUGCUGCAUGUCCGGGGCGCCGGAGUGCACGUACACCCUGGGUGCUCAAUGCGGCAGAUGCUGGCUCCGCCCCCUGACUUGCAGGCCUCCGAUGACAGGAGUGCAGCCCCUGUCCCAUCUCUGAUACCUGUGUCAGACCACACUGGCUGCUGUGGUCUGACAGGCCAGUGACCUGUCCCUGCUGAGGACCGUGGGUCAGUGUCAUCCAUUUGGAGAUCUUGGGUGCCCCAGCAAUGCCCUAUCACUUCCUGUGGCUUGUUAUUAAAUACGUUGGUAAUGCAA